AUCUAUGGCCUUACCACCCUGAAUACACUGAUCCUGUCUGAUCUUGGAAGCUAAACAGGGUCAGGCUUGGUUAGUACUUGGAUGGGAGAUAACCAUCUGUUGCUGACU
rnacentral:rRNA from 1 species